rnacentral:lncRNA from 1 species
CAACAGGAAAAGAAUCUGAGAUGUAGUUAAGUGCUCCUGACAUGGCAGGCUGUUGAUAUAACUGGAGAAGCUUCUGAUUCUGAUAGAAUCCCUGUGACCUGCAAAGCCCAAAGCAAGAGAGAGGCGAAAGGCUGCAACCAAGGGACCAAAGCCAAAAUCAACAGUCAACCCCCAGAUUCAGAGCAUCAGAAUACAGACUUUCAUAUCGCACAUUUCCUGUCAAGAAGACAUUUGUGCUGCAGUCACAGACGGAGCCAAAUUAAUGAUGAAUUGGAAGGCACGAUGGUAAAUAAUCCAAAGCUCCCUGAAGAAAAGGAAGAUGUUUACCAGGUUCUCCACUGAGUGAGAGCAGUAUGCAGGCCAGUGACUGAUGUCUACUAAAUACUGGGCAUGUCCCUUUUUUUAACCUUUUUAUUUUGUAUUGGGGUAUAUUUAAUUAACAAUGUUGUAACAGCUUCAGGUGAAUAGCGAG